rnacentral:rRNA from 1 species
UGUCGAAUAUUGCACACUGGGGGAAACCCUGAUGCAGCGACGCCGCUUGAACGAAGAAGUUAUUCGUAUCGCAAAGUUCUGUCCUAUGGGAAGAUAAUGACAGUACCAUAGAAGAAAGCUCCGGCUAAAUACGUGCCAGCAGCCGCGGUAAUACGUAUGGAGCGAGCGUUGUCCGGAAUUAUUGGGCGUAAAGGGUACGCAGGCGGUUUAAUAAGUCGAAUGUUAAAGAUCGGGGCUCAACCACGUAAAGCAUUGGAAACUGAUAAACUGGAGUAGUGGAGAGGAGAGUGGAGUUGCUAGUGUAGUGGUGAAGUACGUAGAUAUUAGGAGGAAUACCAGUAGCGAAGGCGACUUUCUGGACACAAACUGACGCUGAGGUACGAAAGCGUGGGGAGCAAACAGG